AUGGCCAAAUACUGGUGGAGCAGCAGCCUUGAUCGCCGGUCCUUACAUUGGCUAUCUUGGGAUUCUCUGGCUGUGCCAAAAGUUAGAGGAGGGAUGGGAUUCAAAGACUUGCAACUCUUUAACCUAGCACUACUUGGCAAGCAUGGGUGGCGCUUGAUGACUAAUCCCAACUCUGUGUGUUCGCGGGUCUUAAAAGGCAGAUAUUUCCAUUCAUGUGAUUUCAUGCAAGCCACUGCACCUAAGUAUUCAUCUGCUGUGUGA
rnacentral:rRNA from 1 species